rnacentral:rRNA from 4 species
UCUGGCGGCCGUAGCGCGGUGGUCCCACCUGACCCCAUGCCGAACUCAGAAGUGAAACGCCGUAGCGCCGAUGGUAGUGUGGGGCCUCCCCAUGCGAGAGUAGGGAACUGCCAGAC